rnacentral:rRNA from 1 species
AUUGAACGCUGGCGGCAGGCCUAACACAUGCAAGUCGAGCGGAUGAAGGGUGCUUGCUCCUGGAUUCAGCGGCGGACGGGUGAGUAAUGCCUAGGAAUCUGCCUGGUUGUGGGGGAUAACGUCCGGAAACGGGCGCUAAUACCGCAUACUUCCUGAGGCAGAUAGAUGGGGAUCUUCGGACCUCACGCUAUCAGAUGAGCCUAGGUCGGAUUAGCUAGUUGGUGGGGUAAAGGCCUACCAAGCCGACGAUCCGUAACUGGUCUGAGAGGAUGAUCAGUCACACUGGAACUGAGACACGGUCAAUACGACUACGGGAGGCAGCAGUGGGGAAUAUUGGACAAUGGGCGAAAGCAUGGUACAGCCAUGCCGCGUGUGUGAAGAAGGUCUUCGGAUUGUAAAGCACGUUAAGUUGGGAGGAAGGGCAGUAAGUUAAGACCUUGCUGUUUUGACGGUACCAACAGAAGAAGCACCGGCUAACUUCGUG